rnacentral:rRNA from 1 species
UACGUAGGUGGCAAGCGUUGCCCGGAUUUACUGGGCGUAAAGAGCGCGCAGGCGGCCGAGUAAGUCGAAUGUGAAAGCCCCCGGCUCAACUGGGGAACGUCAUUCGAUACUGUUCGGCUCGAAGAUAGGAGAGGGAAGCGGAAUUUCAGGUGUAGUGGUGAAAUGCGUAGAUAUCUGAAGGAACACCAGUGGCGAAGGCGGCUUUCUGGCCUAUUCUUGACGCUGAGGCGCGAAAGCUAGGGGAGCGAACGGG